UGGGGAAUUUUGCACAAUGGGGGAAACCCUGAUGCAGCGACGCCGCGUGAUUUAGAAGGCCUUCGGGUUGUAAAAAUCUUUUCUAUGGGAAGAAAAUGACAGUACCAUAGGAAUAAGGACCGGCUAAUUACGUGCCAGCAGCCGCGGUAAUACGUAAGGUCCGAGCGUUGUCCGGAAUCAUUGGGCGUAAAGGGUACGUAGGCGGGUAAGCAAGUUAGAAGUGAAAUCCUAUAGCUCAACUAUAGUAAGCUUUUAAAACUGCUCAUCUUGAGGUAUGGAAGGGAAAGUGGAAUUCCUAGUGUAGCGGUGAAAUGCGCAGAUAUUAGGAGGAAUACCAGUGGCGAAGGCGACUUUCUGGCCAUAACCUGACGCUGAGGUACGAAAGCGUGGGUAGCAAACAGG
rnacentral:rRNA from 1 species